AACGAACGCUGGCGGCAGGCCUAACACAUGCAAGUCGAGCGAACCUUCGGGUUAGCGGCGGACGGGUGAGUAACGCGUGGGAAUAUGCCCUUCUCUACGGAAUAGUCUCGGGAAACUGGGGGUAAUACCGUAUACGCCCUUUGGGGGAAAGAUUUAUCGGAGAAGGAUUAGCCCGCGUUGGAUUAGGUAGUUGGUGGGGUAAUGGCCUACCAAGCCUACGAUCCAUAGCUGGUUUGAGAGGAUGAUCAGCCACACUGGGACUGAGACACGGCCCAGACUCCUACGGGAGGCAGCAGUGGGGAAUCUUAGACAAUGGGGGCAACCCUGAUCUAGCCAUGCCGCGUGAGUGAUGAAGGCCUUAGGGUUGUAAAGCUCUUUCAGCGGGGAAGAUAAUGACGGUACCAGCAGAAGAAGCCCCGGCUAACUCCGUGCCAGCAGCCGCGGUAA
rnacentral:rRNA from 1 species